GGACUGGGCGGGGGUGAUGAUAUCCGCCCAGACACUGACUGGCAGAGUCCUGGUUGUCUUAGUCUUUGCUCUCAGCAUCGGUGCACUUGUAAUAUACUUCAUAGAUUCGUCAAACCCAAUAGAAUCCUGCCAGAAUUUCUACAAAGAUUUCACAUUACAGAUCGACAUGGCUUUCAACGUGUUCUUCCUUCUCUACUUUGGCUUGCGGUUUAUUGCAGCCAACGAUAAAUUGUGGUUCUGGCUGGAAGUGAACUCUGUAGUGGAUUUCUUCACUGUGCCCCCCGUGUUUGUGUCUGUGUACUUAAACAGAAGUUGGCUUGGUUUGAGAUUUUUAAGAGCUCUGAGACUGAUACAGUUUUCAGAAAUUUUGCAGUUUCUGAAUAUUCUUAAAACAAGUAAUUCCAUCAAGCUGGUGAAUCUGCUCUCCAUAUUUAUCAGCACGUGGCUGACUGCAGCCGGGUUCAUCCAUUUGGUGGAGAAUUCAGGGGACCCAUGGGAAAAUUUCCAAAACAACCAGGCUCUCACCUACUGGGAAUGUGUCUAUUUACUCAUGGUCACAAUGUCCACCGUUGGUUAUGGGGAUGUUUAUGCAAAAACCACACUUGGGCGCCUCUUCAUGGUCUUCUUCAUCCUCGGGGGACUGGCCAUGUUUGCCAGCUACGUCCCUGAAAUCAUAGAGUUAAUAGGAAACCGCAAGAAAUACGGGGGCUCCUAUAGUGCGGUUAGUGGAAGAAAGCACAUUGUGGUCUGCGGACACAUCACUCUGGAGAGUGUUUCCAACUUCCUGAAGGACUUUCUGCACAAGGACCGGGACGACGUCAAUGUGGAGAUCGUUUUUCUUCACAACAUCUCCCCCAACCUGGAGCUUGAAGCUCUGUUCAAACGACAUUUUACUCAGGUGGAAUUUUAUCAGGGUUCCGUCCUCAAUCCACAUGAUCUUGCAAGAGUCAAGAUAGAGUCAGCAGAUGCAUGCCUGAUCCUUGCCAACAAGUACUGCGCUGACCCGGAUGCGGAGGAUGCCUCGAACAUCAUGAGAGUAAUCUCCAUAAAGAACUACCAUCCGAAGAUAAGAAUCAUCACUCAAAUGCUGCAGUAUCACAACAAGGCCCAUCUGCUAAACAUCCCGAGCUGGAAUUGGAAAGAAGGUGAUGACGCAAUCUGCCUCGCAGAGUUGAAGUUGGGCUUCAUAGCCCAGAGCUGCCUGGCUCAAGGCCUCUCCACCAUGCUUGCCAACCUCUUCUCCAUGAGGUCAUUCAUAAAGAUUGAGGAAGACACGUGGCAGAAAUACUACUUGGAAGGAGUCUCAAAUGAAAUGUACACAGAAUAUCUCUCCAGUGCCUUCGUGGGUCUGUCCUUCCCUACUGUUUGUGAGCUGUGUUUUGUGAAGCUCAAGCUCCUAAUGAUAGCCAUUGAGUACAAGUCUGCCAACCGAGAGAGCCGAAGCCGAAAGCGUAUAUUAAUUAAUCCUGGAAACCAUCUUAAGAUCCAAGAAGGUACUUUAGGAUUUUUCAUCGCAAGUGAUGCCAAAGAAGUUAAAAGGGCAUUUUUUUACUGCAAGGCCUGUCAUGAUGACAUCACAGAUCCCAAAAGAAUAAAAAAAUGUGGCUGCAAACGGCUUGAAGAUGAGCAGCCAUCAACACUAUCACCAAAAAAAAAGCAACGGAAUGGAGGCAUGCGGAACUCACCCAACACCUCGCCUAAGCUGAUGAGGCAUGACCCCUUGUUAAUUCCUGGCAAUGAUCAGAUUGACAACAUGGACUCCAAUGUGAAGAAGUACGACUCUACUGGGAUGUUUCACUGGUGUGCACCCAAGGAGAUAGAGAAAGUCAUCCUGACUCGAAGUGAAGCUGCCAUGACCGUCCUGAGUGGCCAUGUCGUGGUCUGCAUCUUUGGCGAUGUCAGCUCAGCCCUGAUCGGCCUCCGGAACCUGGUGAUGCCGCUCCGUGCCAGCAACUUUCAUUACCAUGAGCUCAAGCACAUUGUGUUUGUGGGCUCUAUUGAGUACCUCAAGCGGGAAUGGGAGACGCUUCAUAACUUCCCCAAAGUGUCCAUAUUGCCUGGUACGCCAUUAAGUCGGGCUGAUUUAAGGGCUGUCAACAUCAACCUCUGUGACAUGUGCGUUAUCCUGUCAGCCAAUCAGAAUAAUAUUGAUGAUACUUCGCUGCAGGACAAGGAAUGCAUCUUGGCGUCACUCAACAUCAAAUCUAUGCAGUUUGAUGACAGCAUUGGGGUCUUGCAGGCUAAUUCCCAAGGGUUCACACCUCCAGGAAUGGAUAGAUCCUCUCCAGAUAACAGCCCAGUGCACGGGAUGUUACGUCAACCAUCCAUCACAACUGGGGUCAACAUCCCCAUCAUCACUGAACUAGGUAGGGGUCAAUGUCAGCUUUGGGGGGAAUUUUUGUUCUCUCUUUCAAACCAUACAGGAUAUGAGGAGGUUGGUUUGUUUCUUAGCCCUUUCAACUUUGUAGUUGCUAUGGGGUUUGUUUUGAGGGGGCUGGGAGGAAGAUAUGGGUAGAAAUAUGGCAGAUUACCGGAAGGGAAAACUGAUCUAUCUUUCUUCUGAGAUGAAUAGACAGUUUCCUUCAUGCUGGUCACUGUUUUCAAAGGAGCAUGAGAUGAUGGAUUUGCGAUUGGGGCAUUCAAUUGGGAAUGGAGAGGAAAGGAGGAAAGGCUUAGUUCAUGGAUUCUUUCUGGUGAUUUUUACCGUAAGAACCUCUUUUGAGCAUUCUGUCUGGACAGCUCCUACAAUCUGAGUCCUCCACUGAUAUACAAAGCCUCGGAUCUAAGCCAAACCCAUUUUGGGAACAAGGUAGAAGCCCUGGGCUAAUGUGUAAUAACUUGACAUUUAACGUAUCGUAGUUGAAUAUCUCAGCCAAAAGCCAUUUUCAGCAAAUGCCAUUCUGGCCCCCAAAAUGAUGGGGUUUUGAGGGCCAUGUUGGUUGGACAAUAGAAUCUAACUUCUAACCUGGCCAUGGCACUCCCUGUUACCAUUAGUGAGUGUGCAAAACUGUAGAGUGGCCUCUUCCCCCAAGACAAAUGCAAACUACCUGUGGUCCGGGGUCCCUUUACUUGAGAAUGUUUCCUCUGUUAUUCCCUCACUCUCUUCUUUUUCUGUACUUUCCUCCACUCCCUUUCCCCAACCCUUAAAUGCUGUAUCCAAUUAGCUAAACCGGGCAAGUUGCCUUUGGUAUCAGUCAAUCAGGAAAAAAACAGUGGGACGCACAUUCUAAUGAUAACUGAACUGGGUAAGAAGCACUGUUUUCCUUCACAUCAGUAUCUCCUUUUGUUCUGUUGUUGGUGUUUCCAACUAUCAUCGGCUUGUUUUUAUUUCACCGGCUGUAACAGAAAGGCUACCCCAUGGCACUGCUUUGAAUGUGUUUUAUUUGUGGCUCUGGUUGGAAUCGACUGUCUUGUUCUGGCCUUUCUUAAUGAUUUUUUCCCCACACAGCAUCAGUAAACCUUUGAUCACACCCAUCUGACCUGGCAGUUGUUUCCAAAGCAUCUUUGCUCUAAUUCAUUUUCUCUGGCCUGAGCCUUUUUUCCCCACUUUUUUUUGUCACCCCGCUCUCCCGCCUUCUCCCUUCUACUCCUCUUCCAACAUACUGUCAGUUUGAAUGACAUGUCUUCACAGCUCUUAGAGGAAGUCAAAGGAGAAUAUCAAAAUUUUAAGAUAAGAAACCCAAGAUGGCGCUUUCCCUCCAGCUGUUUAUUUUUCUUUAUUCUGACUUUAUUUGCCUUUUUUUUUUUUUCCCCCUACUAGGGCAUUUCUCAGAAGCUCUGGUUCUGAAGCCAUAAAAACACCUGGUCCCUAGGAGAACUUUUUUUACUAAAGGCAGAUUUCAAGAAGGGUGCAGAGGAUAAGGUUAGCAGCCACCCACGUGCAGCCCUGCACUCUGGCCCCCAAUCCCAGCCCAGAAUCCUCUCUGGGAGAUUCACAAUGGACUCAGGUGGACGAUAAAGGCCUCCAGUCAUGACUGCAUUUGUUAGGUUCUUCCCCACUUCCCCAUGACUUGGUUAAUAACUCCAUGAAGGGCACCCAUCAGCAGCAAGUCUCAGAACUGGGGAUUGAUCUUCUAAAUAGAGACAGCAAAAGUGCUGCUCAGCAGAGGGGUGGAUAGAGAGGUGGGAGCACCUGCCUUCACAUGACUCACAAAUGAAAUGAACACUCCAUUUUCUUGGCCCAAAAAUAUAUUUCAAAAUAAGGGAGCAGGCUUUCAACACAGUAAUCUUGCUUGCGAGAUGUCUAGAAACCAAGGAAUAAAUUGUCCACCACUCAGCAGUGCAUUAUUGUAGGUAUAGCUAUUUAUCAGGACAAAUUCACUCAGGUCAGGGAGUAUCACACUAUUUUCUGUUUCCAACCAUAGGAGGGGUAUCUUUUUCAUGUUUAGUGUAGUUGUUUAAAAGCCCUAGGUUUCUGGAUUGCUCUCCUCAGAACUGGAGGGCAAUAAGAGACCCAGGGCUCAUGUGGUCCACACCUCUGGUUGGAAAAUUAAUCCAAACAUCUCCAUCUCACAAACCUACAGCAGCAUUUCAGAAUCCUCACUGCCGGGAAUUUCAUUUUCUAUUUGGAAUUCACGUGCCGCUGACUAACUAGGAUAUCUUAAUUUGUCAUUAGUAGACGAGAAAAGGAAAAGCUUGGUGCCCCAAACCUAAGGCAACAAUUCUGGUAUUUGAUUAGCAUCAUUGACUCUCCUGAAGCCUUUGUCCCACACCAGAUUUCUUCCUUGUGUUCAGAGAAUCUUUCAGGUGCUCACACCACCCUUGUCUUCUGCCUUGAAACCGAUUUCUCUAGCCACUAUACCACCCUCCUCAGACCACUUCACCUCCCACAUCCCCCACAAAUACUUCUUAUUUAUCUACAUGUUCUGAGAUGUGUUCUGCAUUAUGCCAGGCCAGUAUAAUGAAUUUUAAGAGACACAGAGGGCACCAAGGCCACACAAGCUUUCAAAGCUGUGUAGCACAUUCCACUUUUCAUCUACUUGGAGACUCUCAAUUGAUGUUAGCAUGGCAAAGGCUCCUCAGAGUCUCACAAGAAAGGACUGUGUUACAGCUGUUUCACUUGACUAUUCCAAUUGUAUUUGACCACAUAUGCUUUGGGGUGAUUACGUGGGUACCUCUUAGCACCCACAUAAUUACUGUUCUGUGAAAUAGGCCUUGAGUAGCAUUGCUUGCUCUCCUUGUGAGACUGGGUAUUUCAGAACGGUAUACAAGGUAUUCACUGGACCCUGGCUGGUCUCUUGGAGCGCUUUUCCUAUGACCCCAGAUGUCUAGCUCACUGGCAAUCUGGAGUCCCCUCCCCCUACUUGGAGUCACUUCACCUCCAUAUCUGGUACCAAUGCUUCCCCAUCUUCCUGAUAAGAGGUAACAGAUGCUGUGCUUUUCGGAGCAUUGCCACACGCACCAUUGGUGGCUAUUAAAAGUAACUAAAACCACAUUCUUCCAUAUGUGGUCUCCAGUUUACAUUUUCUGAUUCACAAAACAGAAAGACUAAACAGUGGCCUACAACAUCCCUUUGGACAAGUGAAGGGAGGUGAGGAAAAGCUACCUCUUGAAAGACCCCUGAGCAAGACCUUCAGUGUUUCCAAGAGAGGCAGAGGGAAGCUGGGCAUUUUCAUGCUAUAAUGGGUGGACAGGUAUUUAAUGUCAGAAGGGAGAUCAUGACAGCAACUGGUAUUUAUCAAGUCAUGGCAUGAUCCAGAUGCUGGGCCAGGCUUACUGGGCACCAUCCCAUUCGUAUGAGCCUCCUGACAGCCUCAUGAGAGAGCUGCUGUAACUCCCCCAUUUUACAGAAACAGAAACUAAGGUAUAGAAUGAUGAAAUGCUUUGCCCAAGGAAGUUGGCAGCACAGGCUGGACUGAAGCCCAGUUGUCAGAGCCUGGAUUUUGGACUUUCACCACUAGCCUGCAAUUCAAUUGCUGCUUAAACAAUGGGGACCCAAAUGUGACCAAUUUUGGAAGAACGGAGCAAAGAUUUUCCCCAUUAGAAUUUUUCUCUGGGGAAACAAGAUGAUGUCAUUUAAAAAUACUAAUUCCAUGCCUAGCCUUUCAUGCUAGUAUCAUUUAUUCUGCUUCAUACAAUAAACAAAAGUUUUUUUUUUUUUAAAAGAAGAGUUAUCAAGAAAGUUGCUUAAAAAUUAAAACAAUCACUCUAGAAAAAAGAAUUAGCUGUUGAUACAUUUAGAAAGGAAUCAGGGAAAGGAAACCUCAUCUGUUCUCUUCCUAAAAGCACAAUAAUUAUUUCAGAAAUUGUGAGUGCCCCCUUCUCCCAUCCCCCCACCAACUUUUCCCCUAUUACUUGCUCUGCGAAACUGAUAAUUUCCAAAGCCAAGAUGGGAAUGGAAAUUAAUUUGUCAUUUAAUUUUUAAUAAGUUAAAGACAUCUGAGUGACACAACUAAUCAGUCUGCACGUACAUGCGGGAGGAGUCCUUGAGGAAUCCUCAGAUGGAAAUGAAAUACAGCAUCCAAUGCUGCAUCUGCUUGAAUGCAAGCACAUAAAAGAUUGAGCUGUUUAGGAUGGGAAAGGGAGAACGUGGGCGUCCCCAUGCAACUCAAAAUUCAGAGCAAGUCCUUGUCAGCAAGCAGCAGGAGACAGCCAGGCAUCCAUCCCACCUGGGGUUUCCUGUGUAUUAAACAGGGCCUAUUGGGUGUGGACCUAGAUUUAGGGCCUGGGACCCCGGGAACUACCCAGGCCAAUCCCAGUGGGUAGGCUGCGGGUUAUGCCUGCGGCUGAAUUCCUUGCUAUCUGCCUUUGCUGUGCUCCCCUUCCAGCGCUCUUUACUCCCAAUAAGCUGCUUUCUUUUCAUUGUGGCUAAAAUGACUAUCCCAGCAUGGCUGCUCAUCAUUGAAAUAUGUCCAUCUCUCAAAGGACUUGGUUACCAAAAAACACUGGAAAGUGUUUUUAGGUCAUGAUCCUAAAGCUAUGCCAAAGGACUGGCCAGCACAGUCUAUUGGUCCUCCAGUGGCCUGCCGUGGAGCAAGCCUGCUUGAACUUAUUGCUCUCCAGGUCUCAGACACUUAAACAGUGACACAGGAACAGUCCAUUGAGUCCCACUGCCCCCCUUACCCAAAGAUCCAUCUACAGCUUAUUCCAUGCUUUUGUUUCCUCCUCAAUGACUUCAGUGUUUCUAAACCAGUAGCCUGGUCUCCCUCUGGCUUCACUGCCUGUGUGUGGUCUUCAGAGCUAAUUCUUAUUUUAUGCUUUUUCUAGUGAACGAUACUAAUGUUCAGUUUUUGGACCAAGACGAUGAUGAUGACCCUGAUACAGAACUGUACCUCACGCAGCCCUUUGCCUGUGGGACAGCAUUUGCCGUCAGUGUCCUGGACUCACUCAUGAGCGCGACAUACUUCAAUGACAAUAUCCUCACCCUGAUACGGACCCUGGUGACCGGAGGAGCCACGCCGGAGCUGGAGGCUCUGAUUGCUGAGGAGAACGCCCUUAGAGGUGGCUACAGCACCCCGCAGACACUGGCCAAUAGGGACCGCUGCCGCGUGGCCCAGUUAGCUCUGCUCGAUGGGCCAUUUGCGGACUUAGGGGAUGGUGGUUGUUAUGGUGAUCUGUUCUGCAAAGCUCUGAAAACAUAUAAUAUGCUUUGUUUUGGAAUUUACCGGCUGAGAGAUGCUCACCUCAGCACCCCCAGUCAGUGCACAAAGAGGUAUGUCAUCACCAACCCGCCCUAUGAGUUUGAGCUCGUGCCGACGGACCUGAUCUUCUGCUUAAUGCAGUUUGACCACAAUGCCGGCCAGUCCCGGGCCAGCCUGUCCCAUUCCUCCCACUCGUCGCAGUCCUCCAGCAAGAAGAGCUCCUCUGUUCACUCCAUCCCAUCCACAGCAAACCGACAGAACCGGCCCAAGUCCAGGGAGUCCCGGGACAAACAGAAGUACGUGCAGGAAGAGCGGCUUUGAUAUGUGUAUCCACCGCCACUGUGUGAAACUGUAUCUGCCACUCAUUUCCCCAGUUGGUGUUUCCAACAAAGUAACUUUCCCUGUUUUCCCCUGUAGUCCCCCCCUUUUUUUUACACAUAUUUGCAUAUGUAUGAUAGUGUGCAUGUGGUUGUCAUUUUUAUUUCACCACCAUAAAACCCUUGAGCACAACAGCAAAUAAGCAGACGGACCAAAAGUUAUUUAUGAUUCUGGGGGAAAAAUAACCCAAAGGCAUGCUCCAGACAUAAAUAGCUCACUGCAGGAAUGAGUUCACAGAUUAGAAGGGAGCACUUGUGAUCAAUGUCAGUUAGGCAGAGCAAGUUUAUUUAAUGUAAAAGAAAAGUUGAUUCUGAUUUAUCAGGAUUAUCAGGGUGCUUUGGGUUUUGAUUUUGUUGUUGUUGUUGUUUUCCUUUCUUUCUUUUUUUAUACACACAAUAAGUUAGCACAUGUUUAUUUGAAACAAGCAACCAAACAGCAAUGAAAACAUAUUGAUUGUUUCCAGUCUCUGGGCCGAAGUAUCGCGAAGCAUUUGAAAAGCUUUCACGAUUUGUGUAGAUGAUUAUGAAGGACCUGCUUGUUGCAAGAGAACAUCAGUGAUUUUUUUAGUUACUCACCAAGGCCUUUUGUCCCAGAGCCAGUUCCCUCUGAGAGUUCUUAUGAACAUUUCUCACCUUAAUAUGGAGGAGAGAAUAGUAUUCCAAUCAUGGAUGUAUCAAAUUCUAGUCAUUUAGUUUAAGUGAAAAGAGGUUUGAUUGCAUAUUAAAUUGUUAUUCUGUCUCCUUAUGUUGCCAUAUGAAUAGCUAUUUUUUUUUCUUUCACUUUUGACAUUUGGGAUGAAAAGCCAUAUGUAUCAUAAAUAUCAGAUGUAAGUCAUUAAAAACUGCCUUCCUGGGACUUUUACAUCUUUUAAAAGGUGAAUUACUUACCUUUUGUACAGAAUAAAUAAUGCUCAGGAAAGAGCAAGUAUUUUUCCAUGCAUUCUCAGGGGAUCUUUUUACUCCCCUUUGUUUGAUUAGUUAGGGCCCCAAUGCCAGGUAGGAGGAAGGGCUGGGGCAAUGGUAGAGUGAGAGGAAGACAAACCCAGCUGCAGAUCAUGUUUUUCUAGGAGCCGACAUGCUAAAUAAAUUAGAAUGUAGGAGGAUCAGCCACAGUUGACUCAACAAAGACAAAAGCCAGCCACCACCUUCAACUGUUGGCACAGCUGUGCGGUGCUGGCUGUCCCAAUGCAGAAAGCUGGUGGGAAGGAAUUCCUCAUCAUCACUUUCUUUAAUAUAGCCAAUUUAGGCAGGGUAAUGACGGCAAUAGAGAGCUGCUCCUUGUCAUUAUGAGACGUGGGAUAAGAAGAGUGCAACAGUGAGCCAAACACAUUUUGGUAUAGUUAUUUUUUUCUUUUGUUUUCUUUCUUUUUUAACACUUAGUAAGCAUGAGAGGAGAGGUAGAAAAAUACCCUUUUUUCAACAUAUAGUUGUCAGAUGCUUUGUGCAUGCAAAUCAUGCUUUAGGCAGUGCAGUAGUUCUUAAAAAUUGGCCAAUUCACCAUAACCAAUUUCUCUUAUGGAUGGACUAGGCUGGUAUAUACAUAUUUGAAAAGUUUUACUUCAAAGAAUUCCAUCGAAUAGAAUAGGGGUAAAAGGGAGGAGGAAAACAUGUCACAGCUGUACCAUCUCUAAAAAGGUGUUUUUAUGGUGAAUGUUUUGGAUUUAGAUUUUGGAUCCCCCGUCCCCUCAAGCAUGAUAGUUUUGGAUAUUUGCUUGCUGUGUGAAUUGACAAGCACUUUUACUGACAAAUGGUGAGGCUCAGUCAGAACCUCCACCCUCCCCCACACCAAAGACAGGGGCAGCGUAGUAUUCAAACCAGUAUUGUGGUGGGGAAUAAUUGUAUACAUGUAAAUUAUCAAGCCCUAUGAGUGGAAGAAUUUUUUCAAAUUAUUUUUGUCUCUCUAUAUAUUGAUUUAUAUUAUGUAUAACUAUCUCUUUAUAUAAAC
rnacentral:sRNA from 1 species